rnacentral:rRNA from 1 species
UACGUAGGGCGCAAGUGUUGUCCGGAAUUAUUGGGCGUAAAGAGCUCGUAGGCGGUCUGUCGCGUCGGAUGUGAAAGCCCGGGGCUUAACCCCGGGUCUGCAUUCGAUACGGGCAGACUAGAGUGUGGUAGGGGAGAUCGGAAUUCCUGGUGUAGCGGUGAAAUGCGCAGAUAUCAGGAGGAACACCGGUGGCGAAGGCGGGUCUCUGGGCCGAUACUGACGCUGAGGAGCGAAAGCGUGGGGAGCGAACAGG